rnacentral:lncRNA from 1 species
AUAUAGGAAGUAUUCUUCCCCUAUUCCCCGCAGACACCAAGGCACAGCAGCUUUCCAAACUCUGAGACUUGAACACCUCCCUGUGAGCCCCAUUCCCUGUGCUGGAGGAUUUGAGAUGUGUCGCUUCUCUGGACGCAGGGAUGUUUUCUCGAGGCUUCUUCAACCCCCAGCCUUUCCUUGGGCCUGAGCUAAUUCUGUGUAGAUCUCUCCAGCUCCUGCUCCCUGAAGACAGAGAAGGGUCUUUCACUGCUUUAUCAACCAGUCUGAGUAGAGGCAUCUGAGGUCAGUAGAGGUCACCCAGACUCAGGGGCCAAACAACUGGGGCCUAAUGGAGGUUGGAAUUCCGCUGUCCCGGGCCCAUUACAAGGCCUCCGUGAGAGCAACGAUGACUGGGGAUAUAGUGCUGCUGGUGAUGGUCCUGGUCUGAGGCUGCCUGAGAAGGGCCAAGGAUAUUGGGCACAGUGGAGUAAGAGUUGGCCCGCAGAGAAACCCCAACAGGACACACAUAUCCCAAGGACUUGGGCUGCUGAGAGUGUAAAAGUGGUGCUCAGACAACCUGGCUUCCUGUUUGUCCCCUGCCCUACCUGGCCCAAAAUUCUGUGGAGAAGACCCACAUACCUCUGGCAGCAGAAGUCAAAUUCUGUCAGUCAGUAAGGUGGAUCCCUGCCCUUCACCGGGGACCUCCAGCCAGAUGGUGCCU